rnacentral:piRNA from 2 species
GAGAAGAAAGGAAAUACCUUGUCUCGGGAC